rnacentral:tRNA from 4 species
GCUGGAGUGGCGCAAUUGGUAGCGCACCUGUCUUGUAAACAGGUGGUUGUGGGUUCGAGUCCCAUCUCCAGCU